rnacentral:rRNA from 1 species
GUGCUUAACACAUGCAAGUCGAACGGUGAAGCAGAGCUUGCUCUGUGGAUCAGUGGCGAACGGGUGAGUAACACGUGAGCAACCUGCCCCGGACUCUGGGAUAAGCGCUGGAAACGGCGUCUAAUACUGGAUACGAGACGUGAUCGCAUGGUCAACGUUUGGAAAGAUUUUUCGGUCUGGGAUGGGCUCGCGGCCUAUCAGCUUGUUGGUGAGGUAAUGGCUCACCAAGGCGUCGACGGGUAGCCGGCCUGAGAGGGUGACCGGCCACACUGGGACUGAGACACGGCCCAGACUCCUACGGGAGGCAGCAGUSGGGAAUAUUGCACAAUGGGCGGAAGCCUGAUGCAGCAACGCCGCGUGAGGGACGACGGCCUUCGGGUUGUAAACCUCUUUUAGCAGGGAAGAAGCGAAAGUGACGGACGGUACCUGCAGAAAAAGCGCCGGCUAACUACGUGCCAGCAGCCGCGGUAAUACGUAGGGCGCAAGGCGUUAUCCGGAAUUAUUGGUCGUAAAGAGCUCGUAGGCGGUUUGUCACGUCUGCUGUGAAAACCCGAGGCUCAACCUCGGGCCUGCAGUGGGUACGGGCAGACUAGAGUGCGGUAGGGGAGAUUGGAAUUCCUGGUGUAGCGGUGGAAUGCGCAGAUAUCAGGAGGAACACCGAUGGCGAAGGCAGAUCUCUGGGCCGUAACUGACGCUGAGGAGCGAAAGGGUGGGGAGCAAACAGGCUUAGAUACCCUGGUAGUCCACCCCGUAAACGUUGGGAACUAGUUGUGGGGUCCAUUCCACGGAUUCCGUGACGCAGCUAACGCAUUAAGUUCCCCGCCUGGGGAGUACGGCCGCAAGGCUAAAACUCAAAGGAAUUGACGGGGACCCGCACAAGCGGCGGAGCAUGCGGAUUAAUUCGAUGCAACGCGAAGAACCUUACCAAGGCUUGACAUACACGAGAACGCUGCAGAAAUGUAGAACUCUUUGGACACUCGUGAACAGGUGGUGCAUGGUUGUCGUCAGCUCGUGUCGUGAGAUGUUGGGUUAAGUCCCGCAACGAGCGCAACCCUCGUUCUAUGUUGCCAGCACGUAAUGGUGGGAACUCAUGGGAUACUGCCGGGGUCAACUCGGAGGAAGGUGGGGAUGACGUCAAAUCAUCAUGCCCCUUAUGUCUUGGGCUUCACGCAUGCUACAAUGGCCGGUACAAAGGGCUGCAAUACCGUGAGGUGGAGCGAAUCCCAAAAAGCCGGUCCCAGUUCGGAUUGAGGUCUGCAACUCGACCUCAUGAAGUCGGAGUCGCUAGUAAUCGUAGAUCAUGUAACCGGUUCCCGGU